rfam:Rhizobium leguminosarum bv. viciae plasmid pRL9 complete genome, strain 3841
AGUCAAGAGUCUUGGCGCCGCUUUUUGGUGAGCAGAAUUCUUUUGCCUAAACUGAGGUAAAGGCAAAUG